UACGAAGGGUGCAAGCGUUACUCGGAAUUACUGGGCGUAAAGCGUGCGUAGGUGGUUCGUUAAGUCUGAUGUGAAAGCCCGGAGCUUAACUCCGGAGGGUCGGUGGAUACUGCCAGUCUUGAAGGUGCUAGGGGGAGAUGGAAUUACCGGUGUAGCGGUGAAAUGCGUAGAUAUCGGUAGGAACACCAGUGGCGAAGGCGGUCUCCUGGGGCAUUCUUGACGCUGAUGCGCGAAAGCUGGGGGAGCGAACGGG
rnacentral:rRNA from 1 species